AACGUCCGGGCCUGCAGUGGGUACGGGCAGACUAGAGUGCGGUAGGGGAGACUGGAAUUCCUGGUGUAGCGGUGAAAUGCGCAGAUAUCAGGAGGAACACCGAUGGCGAAGGCAGGUCUCUGGGCCGUAACUGACGCUGAGGAGCGAAAGCGUGGGGAGCGAACAGGAUUAGAUACCCUGGUAGUCCACGCUGUAAACGUUGGGCGCUAGGUGUGGGGCUCAUUCCACGAGUUCCGCGCCGCAGCUAACGCAUUAAGCCGCCCCGCCGUGGGGAGUACGGCCGCAAGGACUAAAACUCAAAGGAAUUGACGGGGGCCCGCACAAGCGGCGGAGCAUGCGGAUUAAUUCGAUGCAACGCGAAGAACCUUACCAAGGCUUGACAUGCGCAGUAAUCCGGCAGAGAUGUCGGGUCCGUAAGGGCUGCGUACAGGUG
rnacentral:rRNA from 1 species